rnacentral:rRNA from 1 species
UACGUAGGGCGCGAGCGUUAUCCGGAAUUAUUGGGCGUAAAGAGCUCGUAGGCGGUUUGUCACGUCUGCUGUGAAAACUGGAGGCUCAACCUCCAGCCUGCAGUGGGUACGGGCAGACUAGAGUGCGGUAGGGGAGAUUGGAAUUCCUGGUGUAGCGGUGGAAUGCGCAGAUAUCUGGAGGAACACCGGUGGCGAAGGCGGCAUCCUGGACCGAUAUUGACGCUGAUGCGCGAAAGCCAGGGGAGCAAACGGG